rfam:Lentisphaerae bacterium GWF2_50_93 gwf2_scaffold_59, whole genome shotgun sequence.
CCUGUGGCUGAAGCCACAGGCUAUAACACUCCAUCCCUUUGGGAUG